GAUCGAUCAAGCGACCUAAGAGCAUUCGAUGGAUGCCUUGGCGGUAAGAGGCGAUGAAGGACGUGGCACGCUGCGAUAAGCUGCGGGGAGGGGCGAGCACCCUUUGAUCCGUGGAUUUCCGAAUGGGGCAACCCACCUUCGAGGCUAGAUAUCAGAGCUCGCACGAGCAAUCGUGCGGGCUUCGGUUUCUAGCUUCAAAUGAAGGUAUUGUUUCCUGAAUACAUAGGGAAAUAAAGCAAACCCGGGGAAGUGAAACAUCUCAGUACCCGGAGGAAAGGACAUCAACCGAGACUCCCGUAGUAGUGGCGAGCGAACCGGGACCAGGCCAGUGCCUUGUUGAAGAUAACGCAAACCGGAAGGAAAGCCGGGCCAUAGAGGGUGAUAGCCCCGUAGCGGUAAAGUUAGACAAGGACUCGAGUAGGGCGGGACACGUGAAAUCCUGUCUGAACAUGGGGGGACCACCCUCCAAGCCUAAGUACUCCUUACCGACCGAUAGCGAACAAGUACCGUGAGGGAAAGGUGAAAAGAACCCCGACGAGGGGAGUGAAAAAGUACCUGAAAUCGAAUGCUUACAAGCAGUGGGAGCCCUUCGGGGUGACCGCGUACCUUUUGUAUAAUGGGUCAGCGACUUAGUGUGGCGAGCAAGCUUAAGCCGUUAGGUGUAGGCGCAGCGAAAGCGAGUCUGAACAGGGCGUUCAGUUCGUCGCAUUAGACCCGAAACGCGUUGAUCUACCUAUGAGCAGAGUGAAGGUGCGGUAACACGCACUGGAGGCUCGAACCCAUUACUGUUGAAAAAGUAUGGGAUGACUUGUGGGUAGGGGUGAAAGGCUAAUCAAAACGCGUGAUAGCUGGUUCUCCGCGAAAACUAUUUAGGUAGUGCGUUCUGUGAUUACCUCAGGGGGUAGAGCACUGGAUGGGCUAGGGGCACUCACCGUGUUACCAAACCUAACCAAACUCCGAAUACCUGAGAGUACAGCAGGGCAGACAGACGGCGGGUGCUAACGUCCGUCGUCAAGAGGGAAACAACCCUAACCAUCAGCUAAGGCCCCCAAGUAAUGGCUAAGUUGUUAAGGAUGUGGGUAUGCAUAGACAACCAGGAAGUUGGCUUAGAAGCAGCCAUCCUUUAAAGAAAGCGUAACAGCUCACUGGUCAAGCGUACCUGCGCCGAAAAUGUAUCGGGGAUUAAGCCAUUCGCCGAAGCUAUGGGUGCAUCGUAAGAUGUGCGGUAGCGGAGCGUUCCGUAAGCCUGCGAAGGUGAACCGUAAGGUUUGCUGGAGGUAUCGGAAGCGAGAAUGCUGACAUGAGUAACGACAAACAGAGUGAGAGACUCUGUCGCCGAAAGACCAAGGGUUCCUGUUCAAUGUUAAUCAGAGCAGGGUUAGCCGGCUCCUAAGGCGAGGCCGAAAGGCGUAGUCGAUGGGAAGCACGUGAAUAUUCGUGCGCCAGCGGGUGUGUGACGAAUGACGGAAGUUGUGUGAGGCAGUUGGUGUCCGAUCGCAGCCUAGUUGUUCCAGGAAAUAGCCCCCGCAUAGACCGUACCCGAAACCGACACAGGUGGUCAGGUAGAGUAUACCAAGGCGCUUGAGAGAACUAUUGUGAAGGAACUCGGCAAAUUGCCCUCGUAACUUCGGAAGAAGAGGGACUGAUUUCGCGCAAGCGAACGUCAGUGACACAAGCCAGGGGGUGGCGACUGUUUAUCAAAAACACAGGGCUCUGCGAAGCCGCAAGGCGACGUAUAGGGUCUGACUCCUGCCCAGUGCCGGAAGGUUAAGAGGAGAGGUGCAAGCCUUGAAUCGAAGCCCCGGUGAACGGCGGCCGUAACUAUAACGGUCCUAAGGUAGCGAAAUUCCUUGUCGGGUAAGUUCCGACCUGCACGAAUGGCGUAACGACUUCCCCACUGUCUCCAGUACAUGCUCAGCGAAAUUGAAUUCUCCGUGAAGAUGCGGAGUACCCGCGGUUAGACGGAAAGACCCCGUGCACCUUUACUGCAGCUUCAGAGUGGCAUUAGGAAAGAACUGUGUAGCAUAGGUGGGAGGCUUUGAAGCGACGGCGCCAGCUGUCGUGGAGCCAUAGGUGAAAUACCACCCUGUUGUUUUCUGAUGUCUAACCUCGCACCGUUAUCCGGUGCAGGGACCCUCUGUGGCGGGUAGUUUGACUGGGGCGGUCGCCUCCUAAAGAGUAACGGAGGCGCGCGAUGGUAGGCUCAGGACGGUUGGAAACCGUCUGUUAGAGUGCAAUGGCAUAAGCCUGCCUGACUGCGAGACUGACGAGUCGAGCAGAGACGAAAGUCGGUCAUAGUGAUCCGGUGGUCCCGCGUGGAAGGGCCAUCGCUCAACGGAUAAAAGGUACGCCGGGGAUAACAGGCUGAUGAUUCCCAAGAGCUCAUAUCGACGGAAUCGUUUGGCACCUCGAUGUCGGCUCAUCACAUCCUGGGGCUGGAGCAGGUCCCAAGGGUUUGGCUGUUCGCCAAUUAAAGUGGUACGUGAGCUGGGUUCAGAACGUCGUGAGACAGUUUGGUCCCUAUCUACCGUGCGUGUUGGAAACUUGAGAGGAUUUGUCCCUAGUACGAGAGGACCGGGAUGAACGCACCUCUGGUGCACCAGUCGUUCUGCCAAGAGCGCAGCUGGGUAGCUAAGUGCGGACGGGAUAAACGCUGAAAGCAUCUAAGCGUGAAACCCCCCUCAAAACUAGGUUUCCCUUGAGAGCCGUCGUAGACCACGACGUUGAUAGGCUAGGUGUGGAAGAGCCGCGAGGCUUGAAGCUGACUAGUACUAAUCGCUCAAUCGGCUUGAACGAUCAUUGUU
rnacentral:rRNA from 1 species